rnacentral:rRNA from 1 species
UAAGCAUAUAAGUAAGCGGAGGAUAAGAAACUAAAUAGGAUUCCCUCAGUAAUGGCGAAUGAACAGGGAUAAGCUCAACAUGGAAAUCGUGGCCUCUGGCCUUGAAUUGUAAUCUCAAGAUGUGCUGCUAACGGGGGCGCAGGUGUAAGCCUCUUGGAAAAGAGCAUCAACGAGGGUGAGAAUCCUGUUUGUCACCUGCAGUCCUCCGUGUACGGCGUACACUCUACGAGUCACGUUCCUCGGGAUUGGAGCGCAAACUGGGUGGUAAAUUUCAUCUCAAGCUAAAUAUGGGUUCGAAACCGAUAGCAAACAAGUACCAUGAGGGAAAGAUGAAAAGGACUUUGAAAAGAGAGUUAAAAGUGCCUGAACUUGCUGAAAGGAAAGCGGAUGGAACCAGUCUUGCUUGGCGAGAUUGUUGCGUGCCACAGUGAUUCACCUCGGUUUCAGCGCAAGCGUUGCUGUGGCGUUUGAUCUGGGCGCACGUGAUGCUUCUUGCCUUGUUUGUCAUCGUCUGUUUGGGGGUGAGGAUACCUCUCGGGACAUGACAGCUUGCCCCUGGGUGAGCGAACGUGCCUUGCAGAACUCACGUCCAAACUGAUAUGAUGACUGAAUGGUUCUAUUCGACCCGUCUUGAAA